AACCGCCGGAUGCGGAACCGCACGUCCGGUGGUGUGGGAGGACGGCGGGGGUGACCCCGCCUCCUACCCGAU
rfam:Rhodocyclales bacterium RIFCSPLOWO2_02_FTLL_63_24 rifcsplowo2_02_scaffold_10640, whole genome shotgun sequence.